GAGGGAGUCAGCUCUCCAGGGCCCAGUCAAUGAAUUGGUUCAGGCUUAGCAAUUCAGCACACAUAUCCUGAGAACAUGCCAGCACGUGCCCCAGGUGCUCAGCAUAUAAAAUGGGGACCUGGAGACGAACAAGGCCUGGACGCUGCCCUCAAGUAGUUCCCAGUCUGGAAGAGGGGAAAGGCAGACAACGAUCACGAAUAGUGUGAAGGCACUAGCACGUCACCAAGGCCUGACCCGUGAGCUCUGGGAGCCCAGGGAAUGUAUCCAGCUUGUUCACCGCCCUGUAUCCCAGUGUCGGGCAGUACCGGCAUAUGGUUGGAAGCCACAGGAGAUGCCAAGUUCCGGUUCUUCAUCCUCAGAAAUGAAAGGAUAUUGAGGACCUCCGGCUGGUAAGAGCUGUCUGCCAUGGUUUUGCCCUUUGACGCCAAGAUGCAAGCAGCCAUCCAUUGGGCGUACUGAUUCUCCUGCAGCAAAUGUCAGAGGGCUGAGAAACAGUUCAAGUGCAAAGACACCUGAGGGAACACAGCUGGCCUCGGGCUUUCAUCUCCAUAACACAAAACCGUCACCUCCCAAGCAAAGAAGGAUGUGAAGUGGCACACAUUCUGAUGGGUGUCAAUCACCUAAUUUAACACCCAACAAAAGAUUCUGAGCCCUGUGUUGAGUUUCUAGAUGCCAAGGGGCCAGAGAAUAGGAAUGUCAGCUUUGAUAAAUUCCAUGGAGGGAACUUUGCGUUUAAAGAUCAACCAGGGACACAAAGGAGCGCCAUGGAGCACAGACAGGGAGCAAAGAGUGGCCCCAGAAGCGGAGGGGAUGCAGUUAAAGGAUGGCAUUCUUCACAGCAGGAGUAGG